rnacentral:rRNA from 1 species
CUCGGACUGCUGAAUAACACGUGGAUAACCUACCCUUGGGACUGGAAUAACCCCGGGAAACUGGGGAUAAUACCGGAUAGAUCAGGGAUGCUGGAAUGCACCUUGAUCCAAAGCUCCGGCGCCCAAGGAUGGGUCUGCGGCCUAUCAGGUAGUAGUGGGUGUAACGUACCUACUAGCCAACGACGGGUACGGGUUGUGAGAGCAAGAGCCCGGAGAUGGAUUCUGAGACACGAAUCCAGGCCCUACGGGGUGCAGUAGGCGCGAAACCUUUACAAUGUGCGAAAGCAUGAUAAGGGAACUCCGAGUGCCAGUAUCUAAUACUGGCUGUCCUUGUGCCUAAAACGCACAAGAUAGCAAGGGCCGGGUAAGACCGGUGCCAGCCGCCGCGGUAACACCGGCGGCCCGAGUGGUAGCCGCUAUUAUUGGGUCUAAAGGGUCCGUAGCCGGUUCGAUAAGUCCUCUGGGAAAUCUGGUUGCUUAACAAUCAGACUGCCAAGGGAUACUGUCGAACUUGAGACCGGGAGAGGUAAGAGGUACUUCAGGGGUAGGAGUGAAAUCUUGUAAUCCCUGGGGGACCAUCUGUGGCGAAGGCGUCUUACCAGAACGGGUCUGACGGUGAGGGACGAAAGCUGGGGGCGCAAACCGGAUUAGAUACCCGGGUAGUCCCAGCCGUAAACGAUGCUCGCUAUGUGUCAGGUACGGUGUGACCGUAUCUGGUGCCGUAGGGAAGCCGUGAAGCGAGCCACCUGGGAAGUACGGCCGCAAGGCUGAAACUUAAAGGAAUUGGCGGGGGAGCACUACAACGGGUGGAGCCUGCGGUUUAAUUGGAUUCAACGCCGGAAAUCUUACCGGGGGAGACAGCAGCAUGAAGGUCAGGCUGAAGACCUUACCAGAUCCGCUGAGAGGAAGUGCAUGGCCGUCGUCAGUUCGUACUGUGAAGCAUCCUGUUAAGUCAGGCAACGAGCGAGACCCGUGCCCACAGUUGCCAGCAUACCCUUCGGGGUGAUGGGUACUUUGUGGGGACCGCCGCUGCUAAAGCGGAGGAAGGAGCGGGUUACGGUAGGUCAGUAUGCUCCGAAACUCCCGGGCUACACGCGGGCUACAAUGGUUGGGACAAUGGGAAUCACACCGAA